CCUACGGGAGGCAGCAGUGGGGAAUAUUGGGCAAUGGGCGCAAGCCUGACCCAGCAACGCCGCGUGAAGGAAGAAGGCUUUCGGGUUGUAAACUUCUUUUCUGAGGGACGAAGAAAGUGACGGUACCUCAGGAAUAAGCCACGGCUAACUACGUGCCAGCAGCCGCGGUAAUACGUAGGUGGCAAGCGUUAUCCGGAUUUAUUGGGUGUAAAGGGCGUGUAGGAGGGAAAGCAAGUCAGAUGUGAAAACUCAGGGCUCAACCCUGAGCCUGCAUUUGAAACUGUUGUUCUUGAGUGCUGGAGGGGCAACCGGAAUUCAGGGUGUAGCGGUGAAAUGCGUAGAUAUAAGGAGGAACACCAGGGGCGAAGGCGAAUUGCUGGAGAGUAACUGACGCUGAGGCGCGAAAGUGUGGGGAGCAAACAGGAUUAGAUACCCGAGUAGUC
rnacentral:rRNA from 1 species